AGAAGAAGAUAGCACAGAGAAUGCAGUGUCUGUUCAUUCUUUAGUUUCUACUGAAUGGGAGACCUACACUUGCUUUGUAAGUCACAAAAGCACCAUUCGCUUCAUGCACAGAGACUAUGGUGGAUUCCAAAAGAGGAGAACAGAUUUAGAUGAUGAAGAACUGGAGGAUAUGUGUUCAGAGCACCAGAGUGACUUUACUAAAGAUAUCAGAUUUCACACUGAUCUUCUAAUCAUACAGGCUCUUAGAAUUAUCCUCCUGAAGAUCACCAUUUUCAACAUCUUGAUGACGACACAUGCCAUCAUAAAGUGAAUGUCAUGCAGUGAUGACAACCUGGAUGAAAUUAUGUUCAAAGAUGAACAACAGAUGACCCAACUCACUUGGAUGUAGGUUGUUCCCGGCAAAAUACACCACUGAGUCUUGAGGAAUGAUGAAACACAGCUGAAUGAGUGUUUUGAAUGUUGGGGUCUGCCUCAUGUUUUAUGAUCAGAUAAUGGCACAGGUGCUGUGUUGUGUGGUGUUAGAACAUGAAGAUAUCUGAUCACAAAGUAACCUCAAAACUCUGAAGAACACACCAGGUGAACUGCACUACAGACAGCUUUGCACUGUUCCUUCUUCUCUAAUGAGUGCUUACUUUCUCUUCUCAUCACUGUGUUCAGUUGUCUCCCUCAAAGAGGGAAUCUUGAAGAAAAUUUCUUUUUUUUCUUCGAGCUAAAUUGAAAUUUCAUUGUUUUUUUCCACAUUUUUGAGAUGUAG